UGGGGAAUUUUUUGCAAUGGGCGAAAGCCGGACGGAGCAAUGCCACGUGGAGGUGGAAGGCCUACGGGUCGUCAACUUCUUUUCUCGGAGAAGAAACAAUGACGGUAUCUGAGGAAUAAGCAUCGGCUAACUCUGUGCCAU
rnacentral:rRNA from 1 species